UACGGAGGGUGCAAGCGUUAUCCGGAUUCACUGGGUUUAAAGGGUGCGUAGGUGGGUUGGUAAGUCAGUGGUGAAAUCUCCGAGCUUAACUUAGAAACUGCCAUUGAUACUAUCAGUCUUGAAUAUUGUGGAGGUUAGCGGAAUAUGUCAUGUAGCGGUGAAAUGCUUAGAUAUGACAUAGAACACCAAUUGCGAAGGCAGCUGGCUACGCAUAUAUUGACACUGAGGCACGAAAGCGUGGGGAUCAAACAGG
rnacentral:rRNA from 1 species